UACGGAGGGUGCAAGCGUUAAUCGGAAUUACUGGGCGUAAAGCGUGCGUAGGUGGUUUGUUAAGUCCGUUGUGAAAGCCCCGAGCUCAACUUGGGAAUUGCAGUGGAUACUGGCAAGCUGGAGUGCGGUAGAGGAAGGUGGAAUUCCCGGUGUAGCGGUGAAAUGCGUAGAGAUCGGGAGGAACACCGGUGGCGAAGGCGGCAUCCUGGACCAACACUGACGCUGAUGAGCGAAAGCCAGGGGAGCAAACGGG
rnacentral:rRNA from 1 species